AUUUUCUAGUCCGAGCUUUAAACAUUUUUUUUUAUAGAUGAAUCUUAAUUUGCCACCAAAAUAAUUAACUUCAACUAGAAGCAAUAUCCACAGUGCCUGAUAUCAAGUUAAACUUCCAAAAUAAUUACAUUGCACGAUAAUAUCUCAUGAUUAAUAUUCCUUCACUUAAUUUAGUCAAAAUCUAAUUAAUCAUAACUUGAAAUACAAAUUGCUCUACCAAGAAAACUAUCAGAAUAACUUAUUCACACUUUGGUUACAACCAUAAUUAGGUUGCAUUCUAAUUUUAGCAUUUCAAAAUUCUGAUAAAAUAAUAUAAAUUUAUCAAUAGCAAAAGCAAAUAAAUAUCUUCGUCUAAUGGCCUAAUGUCCACCCAUCUCUCAAACUUUCCGACGAAUCCUAAAGAUCCUAAACUUAAGCUCCGUCUGACUAUUUCAAACACAAUCCCUAGGAAUCUGAAACCUGAGCUCUGAUACCACCAAAUCUGUCACGCCCCGAGCCCGAGGCGCGGCAGA
rnacentral:lncRNA from 1 species